rfam:Camelus ferus unplaced genomic scaffold scaffold23938, whole genome shotgun sequence.
GAGGGUAUAGCUCAGUGGUAGAGCAUGGGCCUAGCAUGCACUGGGGUCCUGGGUUCAAUCCCCAGUCCUUCCA